AAACCUACCACACCAUCUUCCCCUACACCAGCUCGGAAGACCAUCGCGAAGGCAACAAGAGAACAUCCCGGAGCACGCCGCCCCACUAAAACAACUACCACAAAAUCUACCACAACAACAUCAAAACCUAUCACCCCAUCUACCCCUACAACGACAAUUACAACAAAGUCUACAACAACAACAUCAAAACCUACCACACCAUCUUCCCCUACACCGACAGUUACCACAAAGUCUUCUACAACAACAUCAAAACCUACCACACCAUCUUCCCCUACAACGACAACUACCACGAAGUCUACUACAACAACAUCAAAACCUACCACACCAUCUUCCCCUACAACGACAACUACCACGAAGUCUACUACAACAACAACAACAUCAAAACCUACAACAUCAUCUACUCUUACACCGACAGCUACCACAAAGUCUACUACAACAUCAAAACCUACCACACCAUAUACCCCUACACCAACAACUACCACAAAGUCUACCACAACAACAUCAAAACCUAUCACACCAUCUACCCCUACAACGACAAUUACAACAAAGUCUACAACAACAACAUCAAAACCUACCACACCAUCUCCCCCUACACCGACAACUACCACAACAUCUACUACAACAUCAAAACCUACCACACCAUCUACUCCUACACCGACAACUACCACAAAAUCUACUACAACAACAUCAAAAUCUACCACACCAUCUUCCCCUACACCGACAACUACCACAAAGUCCACUACAACAACACCAAAAUCUACCACACCAUCUUCCCCUACACCAACAGCUACCACGAAGUCUACUACAACAACACUGAAACCUACCACACCAUCUACCCCUGCACCGACAACUACUACAAAAUCUACUACAACAUCAAAACCUACCACACCAUCUUCCCCUACACCGACAGCUAUCACGAAGUCUACUACAACAACACUGAAACCUACCACACCAUCUACCCCUACACCAACUACCACAAAGUCUACUACAACAACAACAACACCAAAACCUACCACACCAUCUUCCCCUACACCCCCAACUACCACGAAGUCUACUACAACAACACUGAAACCUACCACACCAUCUACCCCUACACCAACUACCACAAAGUCUACUACAACAACAACAACAUCAAAACCUACCACACCAUCUUCCCCUACACCGACAGCUACCACAAAGUCUACUACAACAUCAAAACCUACCACACCAUCUACCCCUACAACGACAAUUACAACAAAGUCUACAACAACAACAUCAAAACCUACCACACCAUCUACCCCUACACCGACAACUACAACAAAGUCUACUGCAACAACAAAAAGACCUACCACAUCAUCUAGCUCUAUACCAACAGCUACAAUUCCACACUAUGACUGUCCAGAAUGGGAUAAAAAUGUACAAUUUAAUAUACCUUCUUUUAACUUUAGUUUCAAGGGGUCAUGA
rnacentral:lncRNA from 12 species